UUAAAACCAGCAAUGUGAACACAAAAAUAUAACCGCUGUUUGAGGGAGAGGUACGGGUCUGGAGUCGGGAAUAUCUCUACGACGUAUGUUUACACGGCCCAAAAUGUAAUAUUUAGCAUUUUGUAAUUUCUCCUACAUCUGCUCCCACAACCCAGGAUGUCGAGCGUCAGACAUUACGCCGCAUAGCACGUAGUGUUACUCGGUUAGUUUACUUUAAAGAAUCUCGAAAUGAUUUCGACUUGCACAUCCCAUUUCAUAUUCAUUUUACGCCCGGGCACGUUAUUCACCGAAAACAGCGUUACUUUAGCGUAGUACAAAUUAAGUGCUUUUGACAAGAUUUUAAUUCGCCCAAGCGAGCCAAAGGAAAGUCCAAUGGAUGGUUUAAAAAAGAGUGUCGUUACCAAGAGUGGAGCGUUUCCAGCGGUAAUGCUACGUGGCAGCACGGUCGGUCAUUAAACAGCUCGUUUGUGAUUGCAUUGCUUUUUUUGCCAGCAUGAUCGAUGCCCCACAGCGGCGUUAUGUCCCCGUGCAUCCACCAAAGUAUUACGUGCAUGAAGGGAGGUGGGCUGUUGGAAGACUUAUUACUGCAAUCUGAGGCGUACGUACAUACAUAAUUCCGCGCUCAAUGGGCGUUUUAUAGAAAUGAACGAAUAUGAUUAUGGCGUAAUAUGAUGUCAGCACCAUCACUUUAAUAUCGCCCCUCAGCUGGUGUGUGGCUGGAAAUGGCGGCCGCGAAUCACCUUGGUGGGUGUGAUGAUUGCUGGUGGUGUUAGUGGCUGAGCUGCGGUUCAGUGUUCUGUAAAAUGCUCUAUAAAUGCACAUUGUCGACUCGUCAUCAUUGAGAUUUGAAACACUGAUGUAUGCAGCUUUAGGCGGGGUAAUUGGUGGAAACAAAACAAAAACCUACAUGCACACCUACAAGCCUCCCAGGCUUGUAAUUGUCCCUGGGCGAUAUGGCAAUGUCCACAAUCUUGUGCUGCACAGCAGUAAUGCUACCAGCAGGCUUAAUAUGUCUUGGCGCAUAAAGACCUUUGACUUGGCAUAGGGUGUGCUGGUGUGAUAUACCAGCACAGCUGUCCUGUUUUCUGCAUAAUGUCUACUUUAAUUCCAAUGUGCAGUGUAGUUUCAUGACUCACCAUAGAAGAACCUCAUCACAGAAACCGCCAUUUCUAUAUUUUUCAUUUAUUUCCACAUUUCUACCACACUUGUCUGUCACUGGCAAUGAAUGGAAAUCCUGAGACCAGCAUAGUGUUUUGAACCUUUAAAAUGUUUAAACAUCCAUGGACAGGAGUGCGGUUUAUUUUAGGCAAAGCAAUGAGCUAUCAAAAUUAAGAUGGCUUGUCCUUCAAGAUGCCUAAGAAUAUAUACCCCCUGUGGUGGUGUGGAUGACUUUUCACAUGCUGCCUCUUUAUGCUCAUGUGCUCAUGUCUUGCAUCGACCAAUUACAGCUGUGAUUUGUAUUGACAGCUUUGUCUGUGAUUCAGCUUUAUCUGUAAUGAUUCCGUGCUCUGCUCAAACUGAGACUGAGGCCUCCGUUUCUUCCAUCAUGAUGAUGAUGAUGAUGAUGAUGAUGACAGUGCUCCCAUUUUUUCAUUUCAUGACUGCAUCUGAUCAAAUGCUUCGAGUUUUAAGCUGACUUCUUUUCCUUGUGGCACCAACGGCCGGCUGAACCUGUCGAUGAUCACCCAUCUCCGGGGGCGACGGGGCAUGCAGCACAUCCUAAAGGCGAUUCAAAAAGUAUUCCUUAAUGAAGAACGGUGCUGCCAUUACGGCGAUGGUGAGAUGCCCCAAAUCCUGAGCAGGUAUCACCUCUUUCCCUCAGCUGAGAUCUGCAGUCUGGCUGUGUGCGAUUUCUCUGAGCGUCUCACCUGGGACAGGUGGCUGCUUGUGGAGUUCUGAUGUAGGCCGAAGGAGGGGGGAGGUGUGGGAGUAGGCUUGCGGGAAUGAAAGGUUGUGAUUUGACAGCGCAGACAGCCCCCCCCCGGGCCGUCCCCGCUCAAGAGGUGUGCAGAGGAGGAUAUCAAUUGAGGGAUUGUCAGGGGGCACUUAAUGAGCCCGUCUGACAGGCAGUCAGUGCUGCACACCGCCCUGCUUUCUCUCCUGCGGUCACGGACCUGCAGCUUGUGGCAGCCGUGCCCGUGGGUCUGAUUUGGCCCGCGCCGUGUCCCCAGCCGAUGUGCGCUGCGUUCACGAGCUUUCAGUCAUCGCAGACCGACACUGAAAUCCACAUAAUGGAUUCCUUGACUUUCACCGGCACAACUCUGGUCCUCGUGCUGAUAAAUGCCAAUAACUAAGACUCCAAAGGAAAUCUAAAGCCUAGAAUCAAGACUAGAUACUGAAAGUCCUCCUAUACCUGCACUAAGGAAGCGAUUGAACACACCUGGCUAAUCAGAAAUACAUGCGCAGCCAUUUGUCCCAAAACAUUAUGGUGCUCUGAAAUGGGGGACUAUGUAAUAAAAGCUGAGAAUCUGCACUUUAACCACAUGUGAAUUGUUUGAUUACAAAUCCAAAAUUGUGGCGUACAGAACCAAAUAAAAAUGUCUUUGUCAUAAAA